AGUUAAUAGAAUAGAUUAGGUUCAAUUAAAAUAUUUUAAUUGAUUAAAAGGGAAGUUGGGUGUAAAUCCCACGCGAUCCCGUCGCUGUAAGAGAGGAAUUUUCCUAGAUAUACCACUGAACUUUUGUUUGGGAAGGUUAGGAAAGUAUUGAUUCUUUAGCCAGAAUACCUGCCUAGAUCUAAACACAGUUA
rnacentral:ncRNA from 20 species